GGAAUAUUGGGCAAUGGGCGAAAGCCUGACCCAGCAACGCCGCGUGGAGGAAGAAGGUCUUCGGAUUGUAAACUUCUGUUAUGGGGGAAAAAGGAAGUGAUGGUACCCCAUGAGAAAGCUACGGCAAACUAUGUGCCAGCAGCCGCGGUAAUACAUAGGUAGCGAGCGUUAUCCGGAAUAACUGGGCGUAAAGGGAGUGUAGGUGGCGUGUUAAGUCUUGUGUGAAAGCCCUCGGCUCAACUGAGGAACUGCACAAGAAACUGGCAUGCUAGAGUGUGAGAGAGGCAAGUGGAAUUCCUAGUGUAGCGGUAGAAUGCGUAGAGAUUAGGAGGAACACCAGAGGCGAAGGCGACUUGCUGGCUCAUAACUGACACUGAGACUCGAAAGCGUGGGGAGCAAACA
rnacentral:rRNA from 1 species